rnacentral:lncRNA from 1 species
UUCAGGUGGGCUCCUGACUUGUAAUUUCUUCAACUUGUUGCUUGCCUUUCAAUUUCUUCACCCUGUUCUUUAGGCGGGUUUCUGACUUGCCAUUUUUCAACUGUUGACUUUCAAUUUUCUUCCUCUUGUUGCUUGCUUUUCAAUUGCUUCACCUUGUUGGUUGACUUUCCAUGUAUUAGCCCUGUUCUUCAAGCGGGCUCCUAAAAUCACAUCAAAACUAAGAAAAAAAUUAUCCCAUACAAAGAAAUACAUCUUCUAUAAGUUAAUUGGAAUGAUUCGACUAAAAGGUAUGUCUUAUAGGAAUCAAAGGAGAUGACUCGACUAAAAGGUACGUCUUAUAGGAAUCAAAGGAAAUGACUCGACUAAAAGGUACGUUUUAUAGGAAUCAAAGGAAUGAAUCGACUAAAAGGUACGUCUUCUAGGGUUCAAGGGGAAUGACUUGACUAAAAGGUACGUCUUAUAGGAAUCAAAGGAACGACUCGACUAAAAGGUACGUCUUCUAGGGGUCAAGGAGAAUGACUCGACUAAAAGGGACGUCUUCUAGGGGUCAAGGGGAAUGAUUCAACUAAAAGGUACGUCUUAUAGGAAUCAAAGGAACGACUCUACUAAAAGGUACGUCUUCUAGGGGUCAAGGAGAAUGACUCGACUAAAAGGGACGUCUUCUAGGGGUCAAGGGGAAUGAUUCAACUAAAAGGUACGUCUUAUAGGAAUCAAAGGAACGACUCUACUAAAAGGUACGUCUUCUAGGGGUCAAGGAGAAUGACUCGACUACUCGACUAAAAGGUACAUCUUCUAGGGGUCAAGGGGAAUGACUCGACUAAAAGGUACAUCUUAUAGGAAUCAAAGGAAAUGAAUCGACUAAAAGAUACGUCUUCUAAGGGUCAAGGGGAAUGACUCGAAUAAAAGGUACGUUAUAUAGGAAUUAAAGAAACGACUUGACUAAAAGAUACGUCUUCUAGGGGUCAAGGGGAAUGACUCGACUAAAAGGUACGUCUUAUAGGAAUCAAAGGAACGACUCGACUAAAAGGUACGUCUUCUAGAGGUCCACGGGAAUGACUCGACUAAAAGGUACAUCUUAUAGGAAUCAAAGGAAUGACUCGACUAAAAGGUACGUCUUCUAGGGGUCAAGGGGAAUGACUCGACUAAAAGGUAAGCCUUAUAGGAAUCAAAGGAACGACUCAACUAAAAGGUACAUCUUCUAGGGAUCAAGGAGAAUGACUUGACUAAAAGGUACGUCUUAUAGAAAUCACAGGGGAUGACUCGACUAAAAGGUAAGUCUUAGGAAUCAAGGGGGAUGACUAGACUAAAAGUUACGUCUUAUAGGAAUCAAAAGGAAUGACUCGACUAAAAGGUACGUCUUAUAGGAAUCAAGGGGAAUGACUCGACUAAAAGGUACGUCUUAUAGGAAUUAAUUAAAAUAACUAGACUAAAAGGUACGUCUUAUAGGAAUCAAGGUUCAAUUUAAGAAGUGUAUCCCCUAACAAAUGAAAACUGAAAUCCCUAGACAAGAAAGUGUGUCUCUGAAAAAUAUAUGAUGAUGAAUUUUACUAUGAUUUGAUUAUCAAACCUGUACAUCAAUAUUGUUUCCUGCAUUUGUAGGAAUGAGGCAUUGCAACCCUCGAUAUUUAUGCUCUGAAUUCCUUGAUUUAAAGGUAGCAUGUUUCCUGAUUCAUCAAAGAAAACUUAUGAGUUUAAAAACAUGGUGGCUGGUUUGUGGCUUUAGCUUUCGCGGUAAUCGCUCUUGCCCUCAUCAUAUUUAACCUUGCUUCCAACCAUUAGCAUAUAUCAUUGACUUGCUGAAUCAUUAAGCUGAACUCAGAUUAUUAAGAGUAACUGAAACAAACACAGUAUCUCCACUUUGCCAUGCUUCUCAAAUAGACCCUUUGAACCUUGGUAUUUCAUGAGUUUCCUGACUUGUCUGUUGAUAAAACUUUCUGCAUGUCCUUUUUUCGGCUCACAAUUAUGUCUCUUUUAUGUGCUAGCUUUUGUCUUGCUUUGUGCAAUUAAAGAAGCUGGUAGCCAGUUUUGAAAUCUUUUUUUCACUUGUUUUGACACAGACUUGACUCAAAGACAAGAAAAGAAAAAUGACAAUGACUUUUAUUAGGACAACUGACUCAAGAAAAUGAAAUAAAAAUAAAGAAAAGAAAGAAAAGACAAUGAAUAUCCCUAUUUGAAACAAAGAAAUGAAAAUUUAUCUAGAAAAGACAGUCAACUCUAAUGAUUAUCUCAUGCAUUUUGGAUUAAGCUGCCUGAUCUUUCCAUCCAAACUUCUACCAAUUAUUGUUGAGUUAAUGACCUUGAAACUGAGUUGCUUCCUUAGGCCAAAUUCAUUCAGAAGCCUCAUUCGGCUAGUGGCGCCUUGAAGGGUUUUCGCCAACAAACCUAUUUCUUUCUCUCAGCUCCCCAUUGCCUUAUGGUGCUCGAGAGGGUUUUCACCAAUAAGACUCUCAUUUUUAUUUUCUCAAUUUACCAUCGCCUUACGGUGCCCGUGAGGGUUUUCACCAAUAAGACUCUCUCAUUUUAUUUCUAUCCUAAUUUCUUAUGCUGAGGAAGACAAGUAGUACCCAAAAUGCAUCAUCAUAUCCAUUGCAUACUUAUUCUUAACAUUCUCAAAAAUUAAUCUGAAGGUCUUUCUUUGGUUGUAACUUGACUUUUGGGUAAGGUUAGAAAGAAGGGAUGACAUGAGGCCCAAACGACACUUGAAGUGGUAUAGGACUUACAACUUUUGGAAUCGACUUAAACAAUGAGGAUUAACUCAUGCCCCAGUUUCUUUUGACUGGGUAAUUCUAAAUUGUUUAUUUGGUUGGACCGAUCCCAGAGAAGGGCAGCCUACGUAUCUCACCCCCGAGAGAGGAGAAUCAGGUCAAGCGUAGUUCUGACAGCUUGUUUUGCUUGAUUCUGAUUUCUUUUUCUUUUUGAAUUUUUUUUUCUGGCUCUAUUUUUCUUGACACUCUUUUCUUUUGGACAUAUCUUUUUUUUUUUUGAAAUUUUUUUGAAACUAUUCUUUUGCUCAACACUUUUGUUUUAGGGUUUGCUAACUCUAUCUUGACUCCAAAAGAGGGAUACAAAAGAAAUAGAACUAAAGCUCAAAUAGGGUAAACAAAGGAUGACACAAUGUUUGGAUAACAGAAUGAAAUGCCUUCGUCAUAUCAAUCCUUGAAAAUGCAAGUACACAUCAUGCAAUAUGAAGUGAAAGAAGAAAAUUACUUGCGACAUUUUAAUAACACAAACUUUAACUGAGCAUGUGUGUUAUUUCUUUCUUCUACACUUGUCAAACAUAUAACUCCACCUUUGUUGUACAUCUCUCACAUGGAAUGACUCAUGCUUUCGUGGAGUUGAUUUUCUUUCUGUUUCUCUUGAUAUGGGGAUCAUGCGUCUACUGUUUGACCUAAUUAGGACUUGCCUUUCAAUUGAUGAUCAAUUUAUUCUUGUGAUUCUCAAAAUAAUUGCCUUAAUUUUCAAAGAAGACUUCAACUUAUCACCAAAUGUCUCUGAUUCAAUGCUUCAUGAUUAAGCUGGAUUUUAAGAGCUAGCUGAUAAUUCCACUAGCAUGUCAUAUCACUAGAAUCAACAUAACAUGUACUAUGUAAAAUAAACAAACAAACAACACAUAUUUAAAACACAAAGAAAAAAAGGACACUCCAUUUAAUUAAAAUGAAAGAUAGAAGGGUUUGAACAUAACAAUUAAGGGACAAAACAAGAUAAAUCCCGAACUACAACCCUAUAAUAGUUCGGAUGACAGAAAAUAAAACAAAACAAACUACCCGACCUCUUCCUAGUAGGGAGAAGGGUAACAUCUCAAUUGCUCAGCCUGACAACUUAGCCACUACUUUGCAUAUCUGCAUGACUAGAGUUUCCCUUACUAUCAAUAUUUUGCACCAUAACUGAUCCAUCUUGAAUUAUUUUUUCAAUUUCUCUUUUCAAAUAUCUACAAUCUUCAAUACUAUAACCUUGAGCGUCAGAAUGAUACGUACAUCAUGUAUUAGGAUUAAAAUUUCUUGAACGUCGAUCAAGGGUGUGCCUAAGGAGAGGAGUGAUCAUGACCUCCUGUACAAAUCUCUGAAAUAAACUGGCAUAUGAAUCUCCAAUUGGCGUGAAGCUAUCUCUCGACUUCUGCCGCAUUUCAUUGUUUGGCUUGGACAGAAAAUCUGGCCUAGAAGGGCUUUGGUACAUUUGUGGUGUUAGAGAAUGACUCUGGGGCAUUGGGGUAUGCCAUUGUGGGUAAGAUGGGGGUUGGACAUAUGGUUGUGCAUUAUACACUGGAUAUGGAUGUGGAGGAACAAAGUAUAAUGGAUUUUGGGAGUGAUUAUGUGGAGCUUUGGCAUAAACUUGAGUUUGAGUCUGAGAGCGACGACGACGUGGUCUUCUUGACCUUUCUCGCUGUCCAACUACAAUAGUAGAAGCAUCUUCCUCAUUCUUUUUCUCCCCAAUAUUUCCUGAACCCUUUUAAAUUGCUUGAGUAGUCGCUUUCAAUAUUGCAAAACUCACAAUGCGGCCAGUCUUAAUUCCCUCUUCUAUCAUCUCCCCCAUUUUAAGAACCUCAAUGAACAGCUUGCCUAAUGUAGGUAACAAGUGUUGAUAAUAUGUUUCAUCCUGCGCUUGAAUAAAUAGCUCCACUAUCUUACUUUCUUUCAUUGGCGGUUUCACCCUAGCAGCUUGUUCACGCCAUCUAAUCGCAUAUUCUCUGAAACUUUCGAUAUUCUUCUUCUUCUUCUUCUUCUUCUUCUUCUUCAUAUUAGUCAGGGAUUUCUCAUCAGGAAUCAACUCCACAUUGUAUUGAAAUAGUUGCACAAAUUCAUUAGCUAGGUCAUCCCAACUAAUCCACUUAUCGAUGUCUUGGUCAACAAACCAUUCCGAAGCUAGGCCUGAAAGACUCUCCCCGAAAUAAGCCAUGAGUAGUUCUUCCUUCCCUCCAGCGCCCUUUAAUUGGUUACAAUAGCACCUUAAAUGUGCCACUAGGUCCCCAUGUCUGUCAUAUUUCUCAAACUUUGGCAUUUUAAAUCCAGGAGGAAGGUUAACACCUAGAAACAUGCAUAAGUCUUUAUAUGAGACCCUUUUGUAAUCCCCAAGUCCUUGCAAGUUCUUCAUAGCCAGUUUCAAACUUCUCAAUUUUCUGGUCAUUUCCUCUUGUUCUUCUGUCAUAAUAGGCUUCUUAGUGUUAGGAGGAAAUUCAGGCGGGUAAGUGUCACUGUAAAGAUCAGUCAACUUAAAUGUAGGCUCAAAAGUGUAACGCAGAUCACCAGUAAUAUUCAAUGCAGACUUUCUUGUAGAGUAGGGAGACACAACUUGUGGAUGAACAUCAAAAGUAGGAGCUUCAGGUGGGGGUGGCACCGCAAAAGCGUGAACAACAGGUAGAUCUAAGUAUGUGGUAGUCUUGGAUUGGGGAGUGAGGAAAUAAACAUUGGAAGUGGUUGGAUAUUGUUGCCUCGGAGUCAUCCUGAUGCAUAUUGUGGCAUAUCAACAAAAAUGAGAGAUUGUGCAUGUGACAUGGGAGGCAAGCUAGAAAGAUAUUUCAGAUUAUCAGCGAAAAAUGGAGGCGGCGGCAACCCAUUACCCCAAGCUCGAUGCAUUUCUAUCAUUUGCUACCUUAAAUUUCGAAUCUCUUCAUUAGCUCCUAAAUUCUCAUUUCCCGAACUCCCUAUUUGAUUAGUAACCACAAUCCCAGUAUCCUUGUUGGCCAUAACUUUCUCUUCGGCUAGGUGCAAUAUGAAGGAUCAGCCAAAAUGCCACAAAUCAACCACCUUAAACUAACUGGACAAGAGAUAGAAAAUGAGUUAGAGUUCAACACUUUCGUAAAACUUUUUUUUUUUUAAAAAAAAUCACCGAACCCAAGGAGGGCGCCUACGUAUCUCACUCCCGAAAAAGGAGAAUCAGGUUUGCGUAGUUCGUAAAGUUUUGCCAAAAUGGCCACUUAAACUCUCUUUUUUUUCUUGAAAUUUUAAGAAGAAAAGAUAAAUGACAAAUUGUCAAAAGAAUAGACGAAAAUCUUUUGAAUUUUUCAGCUUUAAUAACCUAUACAAAAUGAAACCUAUGAUUACCAAAGAAACUCUUUUUUGGGUUUUCAAUUUUGCAUUUCAUACUACAAUAAAACUUGCACCUAUUAAAGGAAAAUCUUUUUGCAGUUUUCUUUUAUUGAUACAUAGACACCUACUCUAAAUGAAGAGUGAAGAAAAAUAUUUUUGGAUUUUUGAAAUAAGAUCUUCGAACCAACAAUAGGUUGCCUACGUAUCUCAGAAAUAGGAGAAUCAGGGGUGCGUAGUUCGUCCAGAUAGGACAAUUAAGGAUUAAAUAACCGACUGAACCCUGACUUAAAAGACGCGACCACAAACAGAAGAUGAAAAACAAUAAAAUCUUUUUGAGUUUUUAGUUUGACACUUCACAUAAGACUGACACCAACAACUAUGAAAGAGAAAAUCUUUUUGGUAUUUUCAUUAUAUGAAAUGUACAAAACUUCUACCAUUUUUUUUUUUAAUUUUCCUUUAUAAAAGCUUCUAUUGAAAAAAAUCUUUUUUUUUUUUGAAUUUUCGAAUUAUAAAUGUUUGCUAAAGAGAACAAAAGAAAAAUCUUUUUGACAGUUUUUGUAUUUUGAGAACAUAAGUGCAAAAGGUAAAAUAAAUCUUUUUGAAUUUUUGGAUUAUGAAAAACAAAAGCCAUAAAAAAACUUAAAAACUACAAAACUCUUUUUUUUUACUCACUUUUUUUCUCUUUUUUUGAUUUUUCUUUGCCUACACACUCUACUUCUAACAUAUGCUUUCCCCACACCAGUCUGUCAAAUGACCACGUUACCCUCAAAGAUGCAACAUGCAGCACAUAGGGAUGCUUUAGAGGUGGGUCUAAGUGGAUCCCGCUAAGUCUCAAUAUGAUGCAGAUAAUUAUGACCUAAAGGCUGACCUACGCUGUGGUUCACUAACAAGGCUGUUCGAGGGAGCGUAUGGUCGAUAGUAGCUUCUUUACUUUCCACCUACUCCAUACCAGCCGACGGCUCCCCCUCCUAAAAUAAGGGUGACUCAACUAUAGGUCGUGUACAUAGCGUGUACUACAGAACUUGUAGCAGAAAGAAUUGACUCGGAUUAUGCAAAUAAUGCUAGAUAUAAAGCGGUAACACAUAAAAAAAACUGUAAACACAUAGCAAGUAGGCACUCAACAAUGAUAAAACAAAUACAAAUGAUAACACAAACAACGUCUAUACACCCAUGAUGUCAAACUAAGCCGAUACAAAUCCAAAAAUAAGCUCGAAUUCUAAAAAAUCUCCAGCAGAGUCGCCAGAGCUCUCACACCCCCUUUUUAACCAAAAAGAUUCAUUUUAAAGUUUCGAAAGGAUUUUUAUUAUUAAGUGACAAAAGAUAAAAAAUUAUUUCGAAAAGGAUUCAUUUCACAAUUAAAUUCAGAGUUGCCACUUGGCAUAGAUCGUGUGUGCCAAGUCACCUUUGAAAAUCCUUUUUUAAAACCGUUUGACUCUAAAAACUGAUCCACGAACAAAGAUUCCGACCAAGGAAUUCUGUUGACCGAGGGGAAGGUGUUAGGCACCCCUCGAUCUCGUGGUUUGACCACGGUCGCUUGGUGGAGCGUAUCAGCUAAUUUUGACACUAAAAAUGUAUAAAUCACAUAAGACGCAUAAACAAGCAACAGACACAUCAAACAACAAUCCAAGACCAAAAUAAUAAUGUCUAGUCCAAUUAUUACAACCUGAAAUAAAAAGAUACUAAAAAGUAAACCUACACUAAUCCUAAACUAUGCUCCAAUGCUUUACCCGAUGCGCCAGACCUUCAUCGUGAACGUCCUUCGAGUACAAAAUACCUCAGGGCAUUCCCUGGUGAAUAAGUACAUAAGACAUCGGGGCAUUCCCUAGUAAAAUGAAUACAUUUUCUCAAAUUUGUGUGUUAAAAUAGAAAGAACCAUUCAACAAAUAUUCACACAUUCAACAAAUCACCAUCUUCCAUUUCUACAAUUUGCCUAUCCGACUUAGCAUGUGCCUACCCCGCUUGACCUAUCAUAGCACUAUCACAAUCAACUACGUCAAUGAAUCAAAACAACAAUAUUCACUUUAUCAACUUUCAAUCCCCGUCCCAUUUAACUAAUUUUAAUUGUUAAUGAGAUAUUAUUUCAUCACACAACCCAUAAUCAAUCCAUAAUCAAGGAAAUCAAACACUGAAUCAAAACAACCAAUAAUUCACAUCAUCAAAGAACAACCAAUCAAUUCGAUGUAUCGAAUAUAACAAACAACAAAAUAAAAGAAAGAAGAAAUAGAAUUGGACCUCAAUUCGAAGAUCUUGAAAUUCAAUAAUACUUCAAUAAAAGGACAGAAUCGGCGAUGAAGAACCUCGAUUCGGAGCCUCUAUUCGAACCCCAGCUCCGGUAUGCAUUUUUUUUUAAUUUUCUAUUGACCCAAAACAGAAAUCGCCAAAAAUAGACAAACCCGAACCCGAUUUUGUGCAACUCGACCCUGUUUCACUCUUUUCCAGCAGAAUUCACAAGAAUCGAAGUAGGGUUCACCGUUCCCGAUUCACAGGAGCUCCGAUGAGCUCAAGCGAUGGCAGAGAGACUCGGGUUAGGUUGGAUUUUGAUCGAAUUUUGGGGUGUUUCUCACUGGUCCCAUUAUUUCGGCUAGAACAAUGGAGGACGAGAGUGAGGGUGUGAUUUUUCCAGCCAGCGUCACGUUUUUCGAUUAGUUUUCUUUCUUCGAUGUUUGCGUUCACUCUCUCCCUCGUCUGUUUUUCUCAAUUUCGAUCAGCUCCCUCCCAUUUUUCUACUAAUUCUCUCAUUUUUCCUAUCUCUCUUGGUCCCUCACUGUGUCCUUCCCUUUAGCUGUGUGUAUAUGUGCGUCGAUGGGUAUGGAUGAAAAUGAAGGAUUAUUAGAAUGAAAGAAAUGGAGAAUCUCAGAUCUGUGUUACUGUUAUGUGCGUUAAUUGUGUGUCGUUGUGAUGUAAUUUCUUCGAGGGUGGUGUAUAUGGCGUGAGGUGAAUUUUUUGGUGAAGAAGAUGACCUCUUUUUCUAUUUCUGUCCUCCUCUAUAUAUAGAAAUAGCGUGUAAAAUAAAAGUGGAUAGGGGUUACGUGGGUAGGUAGGGUAGGAGGAUAUUCGGUGGUGAUGUGUUUUUUUUUAAUUGGAAAGGUUGU